rnacentral:rRNA from 1 species
AACGAACGCUGGCGGCAGGCUUAACACAUGCAAGUCGAACGCUCGUAGCAAUACGGGAGUGGCGGACGGGUGAGUAACGCGUGGGAACGUGCCCUGAGGUACGGAAUAACUGAGGGAAACUUCAGCUAAUACCGUAUGAGCCCCGAGAGGGGGAAAGAUUUAUCGCCUUGGGAGCGGCCCGCGUCGGAUUAGCUAGUUGGUGGGGUAACGGCCUACCAAGGCUUCGAUCCGUAGCCGGUCUGAGAGGACGAUCAGCCACACUGGGACUGAGACACGGCCCAGACUCCUACGGGAGGCAGCAGUGGGGAAUCUUGCGCAAUGGGGGCAACCCUGACGCAGCCAUGCCGCGUGAACGAUGAAGGCCUUAGGGUUGUAAAGUUCUUUUACCCGUGACGAUGAUGACGGUAACGGGGGAAUAAGCUCCGGCUAACUUCGUGCCAGCAGCCGC